rnacentral:ncRNA from 2 species
CUAACUAAGCUCUAUCGUGGUUCUUCCGGUCUUUCGGGACCGGAAGCUAAGAGGGAAUUCGGUGAGCGGACGUGAUCCGCAAUGCCGGAGCUGCCCCCGCAACUGUAAGCGGCGAGCCUUGUCCAUUGAUGCCACUGCGGCGUGAGCCGUGGGAAGGCGGAUGCGGCUGUGACCCGUGAGCCAGGAGACCUGCCCCGAUCAUAGUACGUCC